GAUGAACGCUGGCGGCGUGCCUAAUACAUGCCAGUCGAGCGAACAGACGAGGAGCUUGCUCCUCUGACGUUAGCGGCGGACGGGUGAGUAACACGUGGAUAACCUCCCUAUAAGACUGGGAUAACUUCGGGAAACCGGAGCUAAUACCAGAUAAUAUAUUGAACCGCAUGGUUCAAUAGUGAAAGACGGUUUUGCUGUCACUUAUAGAUGGAUCCGCGCCGCCUUAGCUAGUUGGUAACGUAACGGCUUACCAAGGCAACGAUGCCUAGACGACCUGAGCGGGUGAUCGGCCACCCUGGAGCUGGGACGCGCGCCCACAUUCUACGGGAGGCACGGGUCGGACAUCUACCGCAAUGGGCGGUAGCGUGACUUAGCAACUCCGCGUAAGUGAUGAGGGUCUUCGGCUCGUAAAACUCUGUUACCAGGGAAGAGCAAAUGUGUAAGUAACGAUGCACGUCUGGCCGGUACCUAAUCAGAAAGCCCCGCCUACCUCCUU
rnacentral:rRNA from 1 species